rnacentral:lncRNA from 1 species
CUCUGUCCCACCACGUGCAGGUAUUGUGAAAGCUGUCAGAAAAUGGAGUCAGGGAAAGCCGUGAUGGGAAAGUUCUCACUAAUAAUUGCCUGAUAUAAAGAAUUAGCACAAAAGACUGCCAAAACCACAACCUUGCACAAAGGCGACAAAACUACACAAAAAAAUGCUUCAAGGACAUUUGCGCAGCAACUGCCUGUCCAACCUUGGACUGGCCAUCCACUUUGUUACUGAUCUUUGUAGCCAAGGAUAAUUGUUUGAAAACAACUUACGUAAUCCUCCUCGUGUUUCCUUUUAAACCCCUUAUCUUCCUUUACCUCCCUGAAUACACCUAUGGUUUAC